GACGAACGCUGGCGGCGUGCUUCAUACAUGCAAGUCGAACGAGAAGCUGACUUCGGUCCGUGGAAAGUGGCGGACGGGAGAGUAUUAUGUAGGAAAUAUGCCCUUAGGCGGGGGACAACAGAGGGCCACUUAUGCUAAUACCCCAUCUGAGUGUGACUGACAUGUUCUUCUUGAAAACUCCGGUGCGUAAUGGUGAGCUUGCAUCUGCUUAGCUGGUUGGUAGUGUAAUGGACUAUCAAGGCGACGCUCAGCAGCUGGUUUGAGAGGAUGACCAGCCAGGAUGGGAGUGAGACACGGGCCAUACUCCGGCGGGAGGAGGCAGGAAGGAAGUAUGCGCAGUGGGCGAAAGCCGGACGCAGCAACGCCGCGUGAUCAAGUAAGCCCUGCUGGAUGUAAAGUUCUGUCAGUAGGGACGGAACUUGACGGUACCCACAGAGGAAGCGCCGGCUAACUCCGUG
rnacentral:rRNA from 1 species